CCUACGGGAGGCAGCAGUGGGGAAUAUUGCACAAUGGGGGAAACCCUGAUGCAGCGACGCCGCGUGAGUGAAGAAGGAUUUCGGUAUGUAAAGCUCUAUCAGCAGGGAAGAAAAUGACGGUACCUGACUAGGAAGCCCCGGCUAACUACGUGCCAGCAGCCGCGGUAAUACGUAGGGGGCAAGCGUUAUCCGGAUUUACUGGGUGUAAAGGGAGCGUAGGCGGCAUCGCAGGUCUGAAGUGAAAUCCCAUGGCUUAACCAUGGAACUGCUUUGGAAACUGUGCAGCUGGAGUGCAGGAGAGGUAAGCGGAAUUCGUAGUGUAGCGGUGAAAUGCGUAGAUAUUAGGAGGAACCCCAGUGGCGAAGGCGGCUUACUGGACUGUAACUGACGUUGAUGCACGAAAGCGUGGGGAGCAAACAGGAUUAGAUACCCGUGUAGUC
rnacentral:rRNA from 1 species